GCCUGGGUGGCUCAGUCGGUUAAGCGUCUGACUUUGGCUCAGGUCAUGAUCUCAUGGUUCAUGGGUUAGAGCCCCAUGUCAGGCU
rnacentral:tRNA from 1 species